UACGUAGGUGGCAAGCGUUGUCCGGAAUUAUUGGGCGUAAAGAGCUCGUAGGCGGUUUGUCGCGUCGAAUGUGAAAACCCGGGGCUCAACCCCGGGCCUGCAUUCGAUACGGGCAGACUAGAGUUCGGUAGGGGAGUCUGGAAUUCCUGGUGUAGCGGUGAAAUGCGCAGAUAUCAGGAGGAACACCGGUGGCGAAGGCGGGACUCUGGGCCGAUACUGACGCUGAGGAGCGAAAGCGUGGGGAGCAAACAGG
rnacentral:rRNA from 1 species